rnacentral:rRNA from 1 species
AUUGAACGCUGGUGGCAGGCUUAACACAUGCAAGUCGAGGGGUAACGAGAGGAAAGCUUGCUUUCCUUGUCGACGACCGGCGCACGGGUGAGUAACGCGUAUCCAACCUGCCCCCAACUAGGGAAUAACCUUGCGAAAGUAAGACUAAUACCCUAUAAUUUCCUCAGAUGUCAUCUGACGAGGAAUAAAGAUUUAUCGGUUGUGGAUGGGGAUGCGUCUGAUUAGCUUGUUGGCGGGGUAACGGCCCACCAAGGCAACGAUCAGUAGGGGUUCUGGGAGGAAGGUCCCCAACAUUGGAACUGAGACACGGUCCAAACUCCUACGGGAGGCAGCAGUGAGGAAUAUUGGUCAAUGGGCGGAAGCCUGAACCAGCCAAGUAGCGUGCAGGAUGACGGCCCUAUGGGUUGUAAACUGCUUUUAUACAGGAAUAAAGUUAGCCACGUGUGGUUAUUUGUAGGUACUGUAUGAAUAAGGACCGGCUAAUUCCGUGCCAGCCGCCGCCGUAA